GUACAGUUAGCCAAGUGGCCGACGGCAGUAGGCUGUUAACCUACCGUGAGAAAUCCCAUCGCAGGUUCGAAUCCUGCACUGUACG
rnacentral:tRNA from 1 species